CUCAGGAUGAACGCUGGCGGUCUGCUUAACACAUGCCAGUCGAACGCAACUUCGGGUUGAGUGGCGGACGGGUGAGUAACGCGUGAGAAUCUGCCUUGGGGUCGGGGACAACCACUGGAAACGGUGGCUAAUACCGGAUAAGCCUUUGGGUAAAAGAUUUAUUGCCCCAAGAGGAGCUCGCGUCUGAUUAGCUAGUUGGUGAGGUAAAAGCUCACCAAGGCAGCGAUCAGUAGCUGGUCUGAGAGGACGAUCAGCCACACUGGGACUGAGACACGGCCCAGACUCCUACGGGAGGCAGCAGUGGGGAAUUUUCCGCAAUGGGCGAAAGCCUGACGGAGCAAGACCGCGUGAGGGAGGAAGGCUCUUGGGUUGUAAACCUCUUUUCUCAGGGAAGAAGCUCUGACGGUACCUGAGGAAUCAGCCUCGGCUAACUCCGUGCCAGCAGCCGCGGUAAUACGGAGGAGGCAAGCGUUAUCCGGAAUUAUUGGGCGUAAAGCGUCCGCAGGUGGCGAUUCAAGUCUGCUGUCAAAGCACGGGGCUUAACUCCGUUAAGGCAGUGGAAACUGAAUAGCUAGAGUGCCGUAGGGGUAGAGGGAAUUCCCGGUGUAGCGGUGAAAUGCGUAGAGAUCGGGAAGAACAUCGGUGGCGAAAGCGCUCUACUGGACGGCAACUGACACUCAGGGACGAAAGCUAGGGGAGCGAAUGGGAUUAGAUACCCCAGUAGUCCUAGCUGUAAACGAUGGAUACUAGGUGUAGCUUGUAUCGACCCGAGCUGUGCCGAAGCUAACGCGUUAAGUAUCCCGCCUGGGGAGUACGCACGCAAGUGUGAAACUCANAGGACUUGACGGGGGCCCGCA
rnacentral:rRNA from 1 species